AUGCAUACAUAUGAGAUUAGCUAGUAAAAAAGUAUCACAUAAUUUAUCAAAUAUUAAACAUGAUUAUAUCUGCCAUACCUCUCUGCUGCAUGUCAAGUUUUUUCCCCACUCAAGACAUUUGUGGCAGUGUUCUCUCUUUGUACAGUUU